rnacentral:lncRNA from 1 species
AGAGCAGGCCCAGAAGCAAGGAGCAGAAUGAUAAUUCAUGAUUAACAGGAACGCCACCUGCCUAAAGAUGUCCUUCCUGAGAAAGUGCUUCUGUACACUCUUCAACUGUGCUGACUUCCCCCAGAGAAUUCAGACACCUCUCUAAAAAGAUGCCUGUUGUGGGAGUCGGAGGGUUGCAGUGAUCUGCGAUCACGCCACUGCAC